UACAGAGGGUGCAAGCGUUUGUUCGGAAUUAUUGGGCGUAAAGCGCGUGUAGGCGGCAUGGCAAGUCGGGUGUGAAAGCCCUCGGCUCAACUGAGGAAGUGCACCCGAAACUGGCGAGCUUGAGUACGAAAGAGGAUCGCGGAAUUCCCGGUGUAGAAGGUGAAAUUCGUAGAGAUCCGGAGGAAGACCGGUGGCGAAGGCGGCCUGCUGGGACAGUUACUGACGACUGAGGCGCGGACAGCCGAUGGGGAGCAAACAGGG
rnacentral:rRNA from 1 species